AUUGAACGCUGGCGGCAGGCCUAACACAUGCAAGUCGAGCGGAGCGGCGGACGGGUGAGUAAUGCCUAGGAAUCUGCCUGGUAGUGGGGGAUCACGUCCGGAAACGGGCGCUAAUACCGCAUACUAUCAGAUGAGCCUAGGUAGGAUUAGCUAGUUGGUGGGGUACAGGCCUACCAAGGCGAAGAUCCGUAGCUGGUCUGAGAGGAUGAUCAGGCACACUGGAACUGUGGCACGGUCCAGACUCCUACGGGAGGCAGCAGUGGGGAAUAUUGGACAAUGGGCGGAGGCCUGAUCCAGCCAGGCCGCGUGUGUGAAGAAGGUCUUCGGAUUGUAAAACACUGUUAGCCGGAAUGCGUUACCCGCAGAAGAAGCACCGGCUAACUCCGUGCCAGCAGCCGCGGUAAUAC
rnacentral:rRNA from 1 species